AGUUCUCGGAGUCAGGGGACACUGUGAGGGCUAACAGGCCUGCCUUUGAUGUCUGACUUUGCAG
rnacentral:miRNA from 1 species